GUUCAGGUCAGCUUGGAGGCGGGAGAAGCCACCAUAGACCACAGGCUCCAUCUUAGAGGCCAGGAAGGCAUUGGGGAAACAGCUUAGUAACUGCUGGACGGCAUCUUUGAAGGAAAAUCACUAUCAGUGACCUUCGUGCAGUGCAUCGCUCUGGAACUCAGAGCCAAGCCUCUUCGUCCAGUGGAAGGCUGGUAACAGUGCCUGCUCCCCCGGCUUCCUGUUAAUCAUUGCAUUCAAAGGGCUGGGUUUGUUUGCUUAACCAGCUCUGCCCAGCUAAAAGCUUCAGUUUGGAGCAUGUGAACUCCGCCUGGAGAGAGACUCUGUCAAUUAAAUAAAGAAAAGUGUCACGCUUGACAAUAAAUCACUAAAACCA